rnacentral:lncRNA from 1 species
GCGCUCCAUCCCAAACACACACACAUUUUUCCCCCGGACUUGGAAAGUCACCCAAAGCCGCCCCAAGUGCAGGCAGACAGACCUCACUGAGUGAAAGCAAAGAUCCUCUCCGCCCCACCUGCCUUUGCUGCUGUCACGGCAUUGACCCCGCCUGUAAGAAGGUGGUCCUGCAGCUCCCGUGGUGUGUGUUGGAAUGGACUUCGGAUCCCGGCUUCUUGGGAUGCAAAGUUCGAGGAGUCCUUCUGGGGGGGUGGGGAGACUGUGUAGCCCUUUCUCAGUGGUGACAGCUUAGCAGCCCUAAGUGACAGUGAGACUAAGCAGGGUCGAGAGAAGAGCUGGGGCCUGGGAACUGGACAUCCGCAUGCUGGCCUUGGCUCUGCUGUCAGCUUGCCGCUUUCUCCCCUCUGGGCCUCCGUUUCCCUCCUCAUAAAAUAAAGAGGGUGGAAGGACUGACCUUGGAGAGUCCUCCCGGCAUGACCCCUGUAGGACACUGAAUGGUGCCAGCACCAUGCAGGUACUCCAGGGGAGGCCUGUGCCCUGGAGCUACGUGUCGGGUCAUUUCUCAAUGUUGUAUCUGGGAACGUUAGGUCUGGCCUGUCUGCGUGUCUGGCAGCUGCUGCUCUGCUCUGGGUUCUUGUGUGACUCUUGGGGCUCUCUCGGGGGUCCUUCAGCCCAGGCAGGACCCUCCUUAGAGAAGACCUAGGCUUGGAAGUAGCCCCUUGCUUAAGGCAGGUACCUAUGCCAAGGAUGGGAGUACAUGGGGCACUGUCAGAUGUUUACCUGCAGGUGUCAAAUGUGGCAGUUCUUGAGGUGGAGGGUUGACACAGCAGAUGGCUUAUUCCUUUCUGAUCAUUAGUUGGUCUUCUCUUAAAGAUCCAGGAGUUCCCGUCGUGGCGCAGUGGUUAACGAAUCCGACUAGGAACCAUGAGGUUGCGGGUUCGGUCCCUGCCCUUGCUCAGUGGGUUAAUGAUCUGGCGUUGCCGUGAGCUGUGGUGUAGGUUGCAGGCGCGGCUCGGAUCCCGCGUUGCUGUGGCUCUGGCGUAGGCCGGUGGCUACAGCUCCGAUUGGACCCCUAGCCUGGGAACCUCCAUAUGCCGCGGGAGCGGCCCAA